AUACUUACCUGGCAGGGGGAAUACUACGAUCACAAAGGUGGUUUCCCAGGGUGAGGCUCUGCCACUGCGCACUUUGGUUGGGUUGACCUCUGUGAUUUCCCCAAAUGUGGGAAACUCAACUGCAUAAUUUAUUUUUGGAUGGCACAGUGGUGCAGUGGUCGAG